GGAUGAACCCUUGGAGAGACUCUUUAAGAGCACCGAAGGAGAAAGCUGUGAAAAGCGAAACUCUCAGGUAAAAGGACAGGGGGACAGAU
rnacentral:ncRNA from 2 species